GAUCCUGCCGCGUGAAGCACAGGCAGGGAAGCACUUUGGGGAUGUGCCCCGUUAAUGUGUGUGCAUUUCCCAACUAUUCAAACAUCCAUAUCCACGCUGUGUUUCCUUGCUUCCCUGCACCUUGGAGCUAUUGAUUGAUUUUAAAAAAAUCAGUUUUCUAGUUUUUUAAUCCGCUCCUGUACCUGCAGCCCAGGGGCUCGAGGGAAGUUAAGAGAUCUUGCCUUGAGCCCGGGAAGACUCCACUGGGAGCUGUGGCAACACCUGAUCACCGUGCUAAGCUCAGGAAGCAGCAGGAAUGGAGGAAAACAAGCCAGAUGUGGAAACUUUCCCUGUUUUUUAAAUAACUACUCUGUAUGAAAGCGCCGCAGGCUCUGGCGCCACUGGCACGACCCGCUGGUGAUCCGAGCCAGGAGUGAUGAAAGCAGAGCUCGUUGCAAGAGUCAACAGUUUCACUGCUCUUGUGCAAUGGAAAUUGGAGGAGAGUCAGGAUUUCGGGAGGCCAGUCUCAGGCAGAAGGGAGAGCCCAGGGGUGUCACAACCUGAGUACAACAAACCCCAGUCCUGGAGCUGACUGAGCACCUCCUCUGCUCCAAGAGCAGCAGAAAGUGCUUGGAGUGUUUGGAGUGAGCUGUUCCCUCCCAGCUCUGCCUCAGACCCUGCAGGGACUCACAGAUCCAGGCCAGCCCUUGUCCCCCCACUCUCACCACUUCCUCCGGUUACC